UACGUAGGGCGCAAGCGUUAUCCGGAAUUAUUGGGCGUAAAGAGCUCGUAGGCGGUUUUUCGCUUCUGCGGUGAAAGUCCGGGGCUCAACUCCGGAUCUGCGGUGGGUACGGGCAGACUAGAGUGAUGUAGGGGAGACUGGAAUUCCUGGUGUAGCGGUGAAAUGCGCAGAUAUCAGGAGGAACACCGAUGGCGAAGGCAGGUCUCUGGGCAUUAACUGACGCUGAGGAGCGAAAGCAUGGGGAGCGAACAGG
rnacentral:rRNA from 1 species